AGCAAAUCUCGUGACUCUCCGGUAUUCAAGCCCACUCAUUCAGAUGCAUACUUUCUGCCAGGGUUUCAUCCUAUAAAUCACCUCUGUAUGAACACUCUUUCCCUUCAUCAAGGCCAGAAAGAAUGAAGUAUAUGAUUAUAAGAGCCUCCCGGAAAGGAAGCUUAAAAGCUUCUCUAUACAAAAGGGUUAUCAAGCGCUGUAUUCUCAAACAAAGAAGAGAGAGGAAAUUGAACCUACUGUAUGCAAGGUUGAGAGCCAUAAUUCCUAAGCCCACAAAGGCAACAAAACCUGCUUCACUUUCUCAAGAUUUUUCGGAUUGUGAAAGCUGCAGCUCAUCUUUAAUGGCCGACCUCACAAAAGGGCUUUGAAACCAGUGGAGCUAGAAGAAUGUGACGAGUUAAAAGUUAUAUAUAUACCCUUCUGCUGAAAAGGCAGAGCGGCUAUCUUAGGAUUCCAGCAGGAAAGAAAAAACAAAUAUAUGCAUAUUAAUUGUGGAAGAAAAAUGUGUCUUUUCGGCUGGAAUUUUCUUGCAGUGCACAUUUAAUUUCCUGUUUUGAACGUUCUCUAAAAAGUACCGAGUCACAAGACUCUUUUUUACCACUUUCCUCCAUGUUUUAAUAUUCUAAUUUCGUCUGCAUUCCUAAUAUGAGAUGUUUUUCUGCAUA